UUCAAUUACUAUUUUAUAUCAAUUAGAAUUUGUUAAUAAACCAAGUAAUAAAUGAAUGGUUACCAAGUAAAAAAACCGUUAUCUACAUUAUAAGUUUGAAUUCAAUUUUCCGCAUUUGCAUCUAGUAGAAACAAAUAAAUGUUUUUUUGAAGACAAUGUAAAAAUAUCCAUCAUCCAUCGGUUAGGACCAUAUUAUAUAUAUUUUCUAUGAUUAGGACGGUGAGGUUAUAAUUAUAAAUAAUCUAUGGCAAAUGACAAUCGUCUGAGACGAACAGCGAUUUCAAUACGUACUCACAUAUUUCGUUCCAUUCUGGUUAUUGAACUAUUUGAACUAGGUGCCUAUUGGCUAUUUUUAUAAAUGCCAUUAAUCUCAAUACUUCCAGACUGAACUUUUGGAUCGGAUAUUAUAUGAAGACGCGCGCUGCAUUUUCCUUGGCGGAGAUGCACAGCUCUGACACUAGACAAUAUUAUAUACACUCGAAGGGAACGCGUUUCGCCGGAAGAAUAAAUAAUUACUGAACAAAAAAAUAAUAUGCCACCAAUAUAAACGGACAGUUUGUUAAACCGUACAUAUUAUAAUUUUCAGCUCAUCGGAGUGAGAUGAUUAGAUAAAGAUGGAUGAAGAUAGCUGUUUCUUCGGCGAUGGCGGCACUCUAGCUACGUUUCACCAG